CGUGUGAGUAACACGUGGAUAACCUACCUAUAAGACUGGGAUAACUUCGGGAAACCGGAGCUAAUACCGGAUAAUAUUUUGAACCGCAUGGUUCAAAAGUAAAAGACGGUCUUGCUGUCACUUAUAGAUGGAUCCGCGCUGCAUUAGCUAGUUGGUAAGGUAACGGCUUACCAAGGCAACGAUGCAUAGCCGACCUGAGAGGGUGAUCGCCACACUGGAACUGAGACACGGUCCAG
rnacentral:rRNA from 1 species